rnacentral:lncRNA from 1 species
UGUCCUCUUAAUCAAGGAGUGUGGUGACACUGGUAUGGCAUACAGAUCAAAUAUAGGAGUACAUCGUCACUGAACAAGUGACUCUUCUGCUGAGUAUUCUACUGUCAAGAACUUCUCACGAAGCAUAUGAAUAUAAAUAUCCCUCAGACCCAAGAUUAUCAUAGUAACUUGCAAGCAACUCAUUAUGCUUUGGUGUUGGACUAUCUGAAUUUCUAAUGCAGUGACGGAAGGCUACUGGAUACAGUCAAGUACUUAUGAAGUCUGUGUGUGGAUCAAGAUGAGAUUGACCCCUCUGGAUUAUUGA